rnacentral:sRNA from 1 species
UUAAAAAAAUCGAAUGACAUAUGUCAUUUUGUUGUGUGAUGAUGUGUCAUUUAUAUGGAGAGAGUUGACCAACUUUUAUAUAUAUGAUUUUUGAAUGAAAUUAAACGUGAUUUUUUUUUAUGUAAACGGUGUUAAUAAAACGCAAUGUUUUAGAAAUAGAGUGACUUACCCUUAAGCAUCUUCCGCUCGGGAUAAUAGUAAUGGUAAAUUGCUAUUACGUUAGAAGUGGUUUGAGCUGCCGCUUUAGCUGCAUAUGUGCAUAGCUAGCAAAACAAAGACACAUCUGCUAAUUAAGUCUUGCCAUUGGCGAUCUUAAUUUAGAUGUUUGUUCUUUAAAAUAUAAUGGGAUAUAAUCAGAGAUGGACUAAGAAAUUUAUAAUCAUAGGGAAAAAGUUUUUUAUACACUGAAUAAAUUGCUAUACCAAAAAGUUUGUCACGUUAUGAGUAAUUUUCUUAUUAGGCUUUGAAUUUUCAGUGUAUGACUAGUCUUGGGAGAUGUCUAUGGCGGCUUUUUCAAGCUUUGUGGUAGAAAUUAGAAGUUUUUGAGGUAAUAUGAUUGAGCAUUUAUUAGAGGGGACAUAUGUUUAUGUUUAAUCUUUAGUCUUUAGGCGUUAUUACUUAUUUGUAUCGUACGUGGUCAAAAUUUUACGGUAUCCAGAAUUUUUGGAUCAGUUAAUGGAUCAAAGUUGAUUACUUAGCUUGCUGCAAGUAAGUGUUCUAACAUA